GGGUUAGUAACUUAAUAGGUAAAGGGCUAUCUUGUCGAGAAAGUACAUGUCGGAUCGAAGCCGGCCUAACUCG
rnacentral:tRNA from 1 species